GAGUUUGAUUAUGGCUCAGAUUGAACGCUGGCGGCAGGCUUAACACAUGCAAGUCGAACGGUAGCAGGAGAAAGCUUGCUUUCUUGCUGACGAGUGGCGGACGGGUGAGUAAUGCUUGGGAAUCUGGCUUAUGGAGGGGGAUAACUACGGGAAACUGUAGCUAAUACCGCGUAAUAUCUACGGAUUAAAGAAUGGGACAUUAGCCAUUCGCCAUAAGAUGAGCCCAAGUGGGAUUAGGUAGUUGGUGGGGUAAAGGCCUACCAAGCCGACGAUCUCUAGCUGGUCUGAGAGGAUGACCAGCCACACUGGAACUGAGACACGGUCCAGACUCCUACGGGAGGCAGCAGUGGGGAAUAUUGCGCAAUGGGGGCAACCCUGACGCAGCCAUGCCGCGUGAAUGAAGAAGGCCUUCGGGUUGUAAAGUUCUUUCGGUGGUGAGGAAGGCUUAAGUGCUAAUAGUACUUAAGAUGACGUAGCC
rnacentral:rRNA from 1 species